rnacentral:rRNA from 1 species
UGGGGAAUAUUGCACAAUGGGCGCAAGCCUGAUGCAGCCAUGCCGCGUGUGUGAAGAAGGCCUUCGGGUUGUAAAGCACUUUCAGCGGGGAGGAAGGCGAUAAGGUUAAUAACCUCAUCGAUUGACGUUACCCGCAGAAGAAGCACCGGCUAACUCCGUGCCAGCAGCCGCGGUAAUACGGAGGGUGCAAGCGUUAAUCGGAAUUACUGGGCGUAAAGCGCACGCAGGCGGUCUGUCAAGUCGGAUGUGAAAUCCCCGGGCUCAACCUGGGAACUGCAUUCGAAACUGGCAGGCUAGAGUCUUGUAGAGGGGGGUAGAAUUCCAGGUGUAGCGGUGAAAUGCGUAGAGAUCUGGAGGAAUACCGGUGGCGAAGGCGGCCCCCUGGACAAAGACUGACGCUCAGGUGCGAAAGCGGGGGGAGCAAACAGG